GACAGAGGGGGCAAGCGUUGCUCGGAAUCACUGGGCGUAAAGGGCGCGUAGGCGGGCUGGCAAGUCAGUCGUGAAAUCUCUCGGCUCAACCGAGAAACGUCGGCUGAUACUGCCGUUCUUGAGGGAUGCAGAGGAGACUGGAAUUCCUGGUGUAGCGGUGGAAUGCGCAGAUAUCGGGAGGAACACCGGUGGCGAAGGCGGUUCUCUGGGCCUUACCUGACGCUGAGGAGCGAAAGCGUGGGGAGCGAACAGG
rnacentral:rRNA from 1 species